UUUCCGUAGGUGAACCUGCGGAAGGAUCAUUCAUAAUAAAGUGUUUUAUGGCACUUUUUAAAAAUCCAUAUCCACCUUGUGUGCAAUGUUAGAUCUCGUCAAUCUUGGCGAGAUUUUUAUACAUCAACUCAUUCUUUAACUAAUGUGUCUGAAAAAUAUUAUGAAUACUUAAUUCAAAAUACAACUUUCAACAACGGAUCUCUUGGCUCUC
rnacentral:misc_RNA from 1 species